rnacentral:rRNA from 1 species
CGCCCUUAGAGUUUGAUCAUGGCUCAGAUUGAACGCUGGCGGCAGGCUUAACACAUGCAAGUCGAACGGUAUAGGUGCUUGCACCUGACGAGUGGCGGACGGGUGAGUAAUGUAUGGGGAUCUGCCGAAUGGAUUGGGACAACCACUGGAAACGGUGGCUAAUACCGAAUAAUGUUGAGAGACCAAAGUGUUUCGACAUGCCAUUUGAUGAACCCAUAUGGGAUUAGCUAGUAGGCGGGGUAAUGGCCCACCUAGGCGACGAUCUCUAGCUGGUCUGAGAGGAUGACCAGCCACACUGGGACUGAGACACGGCCCAGACUCCUACGGGAGGCAGCAGUGGGGAAUAUUGCACAAUGGGGGAAACCCUGAUGCAGCCAUGCCGCGUGUAUGA